rnacentral:rRNA from 1 species
UACAGAGGGUGCGAGCGUUAAUCGGAAUUACUGGGCGUAAAGCGCACGUAGGCGGCUUGGUAUGUCGGGUGUGAAAUCCCCGGGCUCAACCUGGGAACUGCAUUUGUGACUGCAUCGCUGGAGUGCGGCAGAGGGGGAUGGAAUUCCGCGUGUAGCAGUGAAAUGCGCAGAUAUCAGGAGGAACACCGGUGGCGAAGGCGGGUCUCUGGGCCGAUACUGACGCUGAGGAGCGAAAGCGUGGGGAGCGAACAGG